GAACGUACAUGUACUCCCCUGAAUAUCAAGGCAUCCGGAACUCCUCUGGGAAUCUACGGUGCUGCUCGUUUUGCUUUCCCGGUCUAGCCGAUUUAGCCGUUUCUAAUCGGCAACUCGCUCGAUUGGCCAUUCCGCCGUCCCGUCGGCUUAACCGGGACCUGCCGAUCGCCCCGAAAAAAUUUCAGCGGGACAAUCGGGACAAGAUGGCGGCUUGAAAGAUGGACGUAACACCAAAGUGGACCUGCUUUUUGUGUGCCCAGCCAGCUCCAUUCCACUCUCUUGCUUCACUAGAAGCGCAGGAAAAAUCUGGAAACACAGAGAUAUAUAUAGACGGUGAUUACAAGAUUUAUUUGCGCUGCCCGUCCUGCAGGAGGUGUUUUCAUCCAAGCUGGAAAGGCAAGGGGAAAAUGAAAAAAAGGAAAAGGACAGUUGACACAGUUACAGAAACCUUAACCGGUCUCUUUGAAAAACGAGAAAUGCAAACUGCAAAGCGGCACAAGGAAAAAAUGAACAUAAUGAAAUCCUUCAUUGAUGUUUUAAGAGGAAAACAAGAUUCCUCUGCAGCUCAUUCCAAUUCCCCAAGUGCGUCUUCUGAUGAUGAUUAAAUGACGAUAUAUAUUUUAUUAUCUUAUCCCUGUUCUGCCUGAAGAUUCUUUUUUAUAGUCUAUUAUCUGUGCCAGGUGCCAAGUUUAUUUCUUAAAUGUCUUGAAAUUGUGUUAAUUCUUGUUUUAUGAUCAUAUUAUACUGUUAAAUGUGUUUACAUGUAUUUAGUGAAGACAGUGAGGUUCACAACCCAGUGCGUCUCAAAUCAAAUUUUUCUUAAAAAUGUUGGUUUUUUUGCUUGUUUCAAUCUUAUUACUUUUUCAGUUAUAUUAAAUAAAUGUAACUUCAAAUAUUUGGGCUAGGUGCAAGAUGUAAUUGUAACUAUAUAUAAAAUUACUGACAAUUAGUUGUUUGCCCGAAAUUGUUUUUUAUGAUCAAUGAAAAGUGAACGACAGCGUAUUUGCUCUGUAUUCUGUUUGUUUCAAUAUAUGUAUUGAAAGA